AGAGUUUGAUCCUGGCUCAGAGUGAACGUUGGCGGCGUGGAUUAGGCAUGCAAGUCGCGCGCGAAAGCCUUCGGGUGAGUAAAGCGGCGAACGGGUGAGUAACACGUAACCAACCUACCCUCGAGACCGGAAUAACCACUGGAAACGGUGGAUAAUGCCGGAUGGCCCCUUUGGUCGGCAUCGACGCGUCAGUAAAUGGUGUCGGGCAACCUUCUGCCCGGGGAGCGGCCUAUGCCCUAUUAGCUUGUUGGUGGGGUAACGGCCUACCAAGGCAGCGAUGGGUAGCCGGACUGAGAGGUCGGCCGGUCACACUGGGACUGAGACACUGCCCAGACUCCUACGGGAGGCUGCAGUCGAGAAUCUUCCGCAAUGGACGCAAGUCUGACGGGGCGACGCCGCGUGUGGGAUGAAGGCCUUCGGGUUGUAAACCACUGUUGCGCGUUAGGAAACCCUCGGGGUUAAUAGCCUUCGAGGCUGACCAUCGCGUGAGGAAGCACAGGCUAACUCCGUGCCAGCAGCCGCGGUAAUACGGAGUGUGCAAGCGUUACUCGGAAUCACUGGGCAUAAAGAGCACGUAGGCGGGUCACCAAGUCAGCCGUGAAAGCCCCCGGCCCAACCGGGGAACUGCGACCGAAACUGGUGGUCUUGAGUGCGAGAGGGGAGAGCGGAACUUCUGGUGGAGCGGUGAAAUGCGUAGAUAUCAGAAGGAACAUCGGUGGUGAAAACGGCUCUCUGGCUCGUUACUGACGCUGAGGUGCGAAAGCUAGGGUAGCGAACGGGAUUAGAUACCCCGGUAGUCCUAGCCGUAAACGAUGGGCACUAGGCAGGGGGGGGCUCCAUGCCUUCCCUGCUGGAGCAAAAGUUUUAAGUGCCCCGCCUGGGGAGUACAGUCGCAAGGCCGAAACUCAAAGGAAUUGACGGGGGCUCACACAAGCGGUGGAGCAUGUGGUUUAAUUCGAAGCAACGCGCAAAACCUUACCUGGGUUUGACAUACACGGAUUAGUCGGUGGAAACAUGGGUGACGCCCGCAAGGGUGGAACAUGCACAGGUGCUGCAUGGCUGUCGUCAGCUCGUGUCGUGAGAUGUCGGGUUAAGUCCCUUAACGAGCGAAACCCUUGCCGUUAGUUGCCAGCGGGUCAUGCCGGGGACUCUAGCGGGACUGCCGUGGUCAACACGGAGGAAGGUGGGGAUGACGUCAAGUCCUCAUGGCCUUUAUGCCCAGGGCUACACACGUGCUACAAUGGCCGGUACAAAGCGACGCGAAGCCGCAAGGUGGUGCCAAUCGCACAAAGCCGGUCCCAGUACGGAUUGUGGGCUGCAAUUCGCCCGCAUGAAGUUGGAAUCGCUAGUAAUCGCGCAUCAGCAUUGGCGCGGUGAAUAUGUUCCUGAGCCUUGUACACACCGCCCGUCAAGCCACGGAAGCCGGUAGUGCCCGAAGUCGUUGACCCAACCCGCAAGGGAGGGAGGCGCCGACGGUAAGACCGGUGACUGGGACUAAGUCGUAACAAGGUAACC
rnacentral:rRNA from 1 species